rnacentral:piRNA from 1 species
UUAGAUAGCCAUACAGAGUUGAC